CUGCUAUGCGCCAACGUCGAGGCUGCUGCUCUCAAGAGCAUCCACAAUGUCUAAAGGAGAGGCAAACACCAGGUUCUUAUUAGGCCGUGCUUCAAAGUCGUCUUCCGGUUUCUAACUGCGGUGAUGAAGCAUGAUUCCACUGGCAAAUCUGAAAUCUGAUCGUCACAGAGCUGGGAACACUGUUGUGAGCUUCACAGGCAGGUUAAACAAGUGUGCCAUAAUCAGCCCCAACUUGGAGGUGCAGCUCAAAGAUCUAGAAAAAAUGGCAGAACAGUCUGCUCCCAUUCUGACAGUUUGGAUUCAUUUUACUAACAACCUCAGCUGGCAACAUGGACCAUGAAGAAGCAAGACAAAAACACACAGGAGGGAAAAUCCUGGGAUUCUUUAUCUAG
rnacentral:lncRNA from 1 species